rnacentral:lncRNA from 1 species
AAUGGCUACCAAAGAAAGAGAGAGAAUUGGAAGGAGAGAGAUAGAGGGUGAAUUGUUGGUUAGGAUUUGACGACAUUGAAGAGAGGAGGAGAGGGUGGAGGGCGAAUUGGGUAUUUGGCUGCCAAAAAGAGCGAGGGGGAAAGGGAGAGAGAAGGAGAAAGGGUUACUGGGUUUUUUUUGGUACCUUUGUUUUGACAGAGAAAUGGGGAGGAGGAAGGUGGUUACUGGGGUUGGUUUGGGCAGUGGGGCUAGUUGAGAUGAGGGAAAAUGUGGUCG